GAAAAUUACACACAGCAAUCUUUACAUUUCUGGCAAGCGCCAGAGCGAUCAAUGGUUUUAAUUAUUGGUGUAACAGGUAUGAAUAAUCAGCUCACGCUCAAAUACUGGUCAUGGAUUGGCGCAUUUACCGUUUCCUCCUUGUUCUGGUGUCAGCUUGUCUGGAUGCUUGCUCACUGAUUCCUCUGCGCCUGGCUCCCCGCCAGGCGUUUUGUUUUCU
rfam:Cronobacter sakazakii ATCC BAA-894, complete genome.